rnacentral:rRNA from 1 species
CCUGGCUCAGGACGAACGCUAGCGGCAGGCUUAAUACAUGCAAGUCGAACGGCAAGGGCAGCAAUGCCCCUAGAGUGGCGCACGGGUGCGUAACGCGUAUUCAACGUACUUCAUAGUCUGGGAUAGCCUCUGGAAACGGAGAUUAAUACCGGAUAGGGCAGGGAUCCCACCUGGGAAUAUUGCUAAAGAUUAAUCGCUAUGAAAUCGGGAUGCGUCCCAUUAGCUAGUUGGUAGGGUAACGGCCUACCAAAGCUCCGAUGGGUAACUGGUCUGAGAGGAUGAUCAGUCACACGGACACUGAGACACGGGUCCGACUCCUACGGGAGGCAGCAGUAAGGAAUAUUGGACAAUGGGCGAAAGCCUGAUCCAGCCAUGCCGCGUGGAGGAAGAAGGCCCUCUGGGUCGUAAACUCCUUUUAUCCAGGGCUAAAAUGGGGCUAUACGCCGUAUUGAAGGUACUGGGGGAAUAAGCCACGGCUAACUACGUGCCAG